rnacentral:rRNA from 1 species
GACGAACGCUGGCGGCGUGCUUAACACAUGCAAGUCGAACGCUGAAGCUUGGUGCUUGCACUGGGUGGAUGAGUGGCGAACGGGUGAGUAAUACGUGAGUAACCUGCCCUUGACUCUGGGAUAAGCCUGGGAAACUGGGUCUAAUACUGGAUAUGACAUGCCACUGCAUGGUGGUGUGUGGAAAGGGGUUUACUGGUUUUGGAUGGGCUCACGGCCUAUCAGCUUGUUGGUGGGGUAAUGGCCUACCAAGGCGACGACGGGUAGCCGGCCUGAGAGGGUGACCGGCCACACUGGGACUGAGACACGGCCCAGACUCCUACGGGAGGCAGCAGUGGGGAAUAUUGCACAAUGGGCGGAAGCCUGAUGCAGCGACGCCGCGUGAGGGAUGACGGCCUUCGGGUUGUAAACCUCUUUCAGCACGGAAGAAGCGAGAGUGACGGUACGUGCAGAAGAAGCGCCGGCUAACUACGUG